rnacentral:rRNA from 1 species
CAGCAGCCGCGGGAACACGAAGGGUGCAAGCGUUACUCGGAAUUACUGGGCGUAAAGCGUGCGUAGGUGGUGGUUUAAGUCCGUUGUGAAAGCCCUGGGCUCAACCUGGGAAUUGCAGUGGAUACUGGGUCACUAGAGUGUGGUAGAGGAUAGUGGAAUUUCCGGUGUAGCAGUGAAAUGCGUAGAGAUCGGAAGGAACAUCAGUGGCGAAGGCGACCACCUGGACUGAUACUGACACUGAGGUGCGAAAGCGUGGGGAGCAAACAGGAUUAGAUACCCCAGUAGUCCCUGUCUCUUAUAC